UUUUACACUUCAACAGAGCAGGAGCAACAGGUAUCUCACCAGAUGUUAAAUGAAGAAGGACACAACCGGUCUGCUGGAUUCCAGGAAGACGGUCAGAACCUCGGCAGAACGGUCCUCUCACCUCUUAAAGAUGUUCUUGAGGUCGAGGCUGAAGGAGUUCAGUCCCCGUCCUCUUUUGGUUCCUGACGGUCUUUCAAGGGAUCCUGUUCGUGACGCCAAAUUGUGGAGGAAAUGUACAGAGACAAACUAACAAAUAAUAAUAAAAUG